rnacentral:rRNA from 1 species
AUACGGAGGGGGUUAGCGUUGUUCGGAAUUACUGGGCGUAAAGCGCACGUAGGCGGACUGGAAAGUUGGGGGUGAGAUCCCGGGGCUCAACCCCGGAACUGCCUCCAAAACUUCCAAUCUAGAGAUCGAGCGAGGUGAGUGGAAUUCCAAGUGUAGAGGUGAAAUUCGUAGAUAUUUGGAGGAACACCAGUGGCGAAGGCGGCUCACUGGCUCGAUACUGACGCUGAGGUGCGAAAGCGUGGGGAGCAAACAGGAUUAGAAACCCUAGUAGUCC